GUGCCAGCAGCCGCGGUAAGACGGAGGAUGCAAGUGUUAUCCGGAAUCACUGGGCGUAAAGCGUCUGUAGGUGGUUUAAUAAGUCAACUGUUAAAUCUUGAGGCUCAACCUCAAAAUCGCAGUCGAAACUAUUAGGCUAGAGUAUAGUAGGGGUAAAGGGAAUUUCCAGUGGAGCGGUGAGAUGCGUAGAGAUUGGAAAGAACACCGAUGGCGAAGGCACUUUACUGGGCUAUUACUAACACUCAGAGACGAAAGCUAGGGUAGCAAAUGGGAUUAGAUACCCCAGUAGUCCUAGCCGUAAACAAUGGAUACUAGAUGUUGAACAGAUCGACCUGUGCAGUAUUAAAGCUAACGCGUUAAGUAUCCCGCCUGGGAAGUAUGCCCGCAAGAGUGGAACUCAAAGGAAUUGACGGGGGCCCGCACAAGCGGUGGAGCAUGUGGUUUAAUUCGAUGCAACGCGAAGAACCUUACCAGGGUUUGACAUGAUACGAAUUUCUUUGAAAGAAGAAAGUGCCGUUUGGAACGUAUACACAGGUGGUGCAUGGCUGUCGUCAGCUCGUGUCGUGAGAUGUUGGGUUAAGUCCCGCAACGAGCGCAACCCUCAUUUUUAGUUGCCUUAUGGAACUCUAGAAAGACUGCCGGUUAUAAACCGGAGGAAGGCGGGGAUGACGUCAAGUCAGCAUGCCCCUUACACCCUGGGCUACACACGUGCUACAAUGGGUGAGACAAUGAGAUGCAACUCUGCGAAGACUAGCUAAUCUAUAAACUCACUCUAAGUUCGGAUUGUAGGCUGCAACUCGCCUGCAUGAAGUUGGAAUCGCUAGUAAUCGCUGGUCAGCUACACAGCGGUGAAUUCGUUCCCGGGCCUUGUACACACCGCCCGUCACACCAUGGAAGCUGGUUAUGCCCGAAGUCGUUACUCUAACCGUUUGGAGGAGGAUGCCUGAGGUAGAAUUAGUGACUGGGGUGAAGUCGUAACAAGGUAACC
rnacentral:rRNA from 1 species